UACGUAGGGGGCUAGCGUUGUCCGGAUUUAUUGGGCGUAAAGAGCGUGUAGGCGGCCAGGUAGGUCUGCUGUGAAAUCCCGAGGCUCAACCUCGGGCCUGCAGUGGGUACGGGCAGACUGGAGUGCGGUAGGGGGAGAAUGGAAUUCCUGGUGUAGCGGUGGAAUGCGCAGAUAUCAGGAGGAACACCGAUGGCGAAGGCAGUUCUCUGGGCCGUAACUGACGCUGAGGAGCGAAAGCUAGGGGAGCGAAAGG
rnacentral:rRNA from 1 species